rnacentral:rRNA from 1 species
AUUGUGGUGACAGGUGGCAGAGAAUUAGGAUUCGAUUCUGGAGAGGGAGCGUUAGAAAUGGAUACGAUAUCCAAGGAGGGUAGCAUGUUUGAAAAUUACCCACUCUUGACACGGGGAAGUUAUGAAAAUAAAUAACAAUACAAGACUCUUAUAGUCUCGUAAUUGGAAUGAGUACAAUCAAAAUCCCUUAACGAGGAUCCACUGGAGGGAAAAUUUGGUACCAGUAGCCGUGAUAAUCUAGCUCCAAUAGAGUAUAUUUAAGUUGUUAUAGUUAAAAAUCUCAUAGUUGGACCUUGGGUUGGUUCAAUCGGUCCGUUUAUGGUGUGCACCAGUUGGCUCAUCCCUUUGACUAGUGAUGCACUCCUGGCCUCUGGCUGGGUUGUGCCUCUAGUGUUCUUACUUUAAAGAAAUUAAAGUGCUCAAUGCAUGUCUACGCUCUAUAUAUGUUAGCAUGGGAUAAUAUCAUAGGAAUUUCAUCUUAUUCUAUUGGCCUUUGGGAUCAGAGUAAUGAUUAAUAGGGAUAGUCGGGAGCAUCAUAUUUCAUAGUAAGAGGUGAAAUUCUUGGAAUUAUGAAAGAUGAACAACUGUGAAAGCAUUUUCCAAGGAUAUUUUCAUUAAUCAAGAACGGAAGUUGGAGGUUCAAAGAUGAUCAGAUACCAUCCUACUCUCAACAAAAAAUGAUGCCGACCAAGGAUCGACAGAUGUUACUUUUGGACACAGCCGACACCUUAUAAAAAAUCAAAGUCUUUGGGUUUCGGGGGGAGUAUCGUCGCAAGGCUGAAACUUAAAGUUAUUGAAGGAAAGGCACAACCAGGAGUGGAGCCUGCGUCUUAAUUUGACUUAACACGGGUAAACUUUCCAGGUCCAGACAUAGUAGGUAUUGACAAACUGAGAGCUCUUUCUUGAUUCUAUGGGAGGUGGUGCAUGGCUGUUCUAAGUUGGUGGAGAGAUUUGUCUGGUUAAGUCUGUUAACGAAUGAGACCUCAUCCUGCUAACUAGUGAUAUGGAGGUGACCCUCCAUGACCAUCUUCUUAGAGGGACUAUGGCCUCUUAGGCGAAGGAAGUUAGAGGCAAUAACAAGUAUGUGAUGCCCUUAGAUGUUCAGGGCUGCAUGUGCACCACACUGAUGUAUUCAACUAGUAUAUAACCUUGGCCGACAGGCUCGAGAAAUCUUUGAAAUUUCAUCAUGCUGGGGAUAGAUCAUUGCAAUUGUUGGUCUUCAACGAGGAAUUCCUAGUAAGUGUGAGUCAUCAUCUCACGUUGACUAUGUCCCUGCCCUUUGUACACACCACCCAUCGCUCCUACCGAUUGAAUGGUCUAGUGAAGUGUCCGGAUCAUAGUGACGUGGGCGGUUCAUUGCUGGUGAUGUCGUGAGAAGUCCACUCAACCUUAUCAUUUAAAGGAAGGAGAAGUAGUAACAAAGUUUCCGUAGGUGAACCUGUAGAAG